ensembl:lncRNA
GGGUCAAACUGGGGGCUUGGAGGGUUCAGUUGGGGGUUUCCUGGAGGAACUACAAGGAAAGUGUCCGAAGCCUGGCGUGGACACAGCCCUGGUACGUCCGUGCUGAACACAUAUCUGGGGUCCACGAUGCCUUUCUAGGUUAAAGUGGGGGUGGGGGGAGAGGUUCAAGUACACAGGAUUAACCAACCCAUAAGGUCCGUUGUUGCUGUUCUUACAGUUUUCCUUCACGGCCUGCCUGUGGUGUGCGCUGAGCUCUGGUCUCACUGGAGAAGGGGGCAGGGAGGGACAGGCUCGGGUCUCCUGGGCGCCGCACCUUCUCAGGAAGACAGAGGCCAUGUAGUCCCAGGGUGGGCAAACUGAGGCCCAGAGAAGUAAAGUGAUUUGCUCAAGGUGAGUGGUGGAGCUGGAACUUGAACCUGGGCCGGAAUGAUCCCAGAACAUCUGGCAGCCACAACUUCAUAUGCACACUUGCUGGAAGCCUUGUUGGGGAAGCCCUGCCUAGACGGUGGUGAGACCCAGAUCUGCCCAUCUUUCGUGACAUCUCAGACUCUUUUCUGGAAGGCCCACCUGAUCAUCUUGUAGUCCUCCAGCAGCUGGGACAGCUGCCACGCAGAAGUAGCUCCCUCUCCUUCCCAGCGCCUGGCUCUGCCCUGCUCCGGCUCACCCUUCCCCGGGCAGUGAGUUCCAUGCCUCUCCUGGACCCCAAUUGUUUAUGAAUUCUCUAAAGUCAUGACAGGGAAUCCCACAGAUGCGUCCUGGACAACACAGGGAUGCCGAAGAUGUCCCAGGCAGAAAAGGUUCUGGGAGCAAACCAGGAUUUCCCAAACUGAGGUGGCUACAUAAUCAUCUUCCCUGUCCCUGCCGCAUACCUGUGAUAACAGGAGAACCAGUGACUGCGGAACACACUUUGGGAAAUUCUACCCCCAGCCUUCCACCCAAGUUUGCAGUUCAUCUUGCUUUCAUUGAUUUAAGCCUUUCCUGUUUCUUGGGGCUAAUCUCACAAACUAAUCUAAGGUGGUGUCUGCCCAGUAGGGUCUUCAAGAAACAUAUACUUGAUGGGAAUGAAGGUUUUCUUAAGACGUGAUGAUGUGAUGCCCAGAAUAGAUCAAGGAAUUUCUAGAAUGUGGGAGGAGGGGGAGUAGAAGUUGAAACAACAGCAGACAGCAUUCACCAAAUCUUUAUUUGUUCCCUAGUCAGAGGACCAAAGCCAGGGAUAGAAUGUAAUGGAGAAUAAUCAAACCAGACCUCGGUCACAGAUAAGUGUUUUUGAGUGAAUGAGUGAACAGACUUCCUGACUGGUCAGAAGGUUGGGAGACUGUGAAUGAAUGCCUGCGUGCAUGCAUGAAUGAAUGAAUGAAAAUCAAGCAGCUGGUCCCCAGCUUAGAACCUGCCACCCAUGAUCAAUGGAAGAAGCCAGAUAUAAAAAGAGGACACUAUGAAUGAUUCCAUUUAUGCGAAGGUCGGCAACAGAUCAGGCUACUCCACUAUGACAAGAACAGAGCUGUGGUUGCCUUUGGGGAGUAAGCAUUGCCUGGAAGGGGCACAAAAGGGCUUUUGGGGGAAUAGAAAUAGUCUUGAUCUUGAUUCCGGUGGUAGUUACACGAGUGUAUACUUGCAUCAAAAUUCACCAAAUCGUACAUUUAAGAUCUGUGCACUUACCUGUAUUGUACAUUUAAUCUAAAAAUAAAAAUCUUACCACUUAGGUCUCCCUGGCAAUAAUUCACUCCCUUGUCCAUCAUUUUCUCAAAGCACUUUGUCUACACAGGCAAGGAGAAGCCCAAGAAAGUGAUGUGGGGUGUAGUAAUAGUGACCAUCUCCUGGUGUUUUAAGGGAGGGUUCAGUGAGAGAAAGCACGUAAGCCUCUCAGCACGUGUAAGUUCUCAGUAAAUGUUUGUUGAGUUUAUUACUAUCAUUUUGCUAUUUUCAGUAGGAUUACAACUCCCUGCCUUCCCCCUGACCCCCACCCCCUUCAAACAAUUCUUUGGCCUGCUCUCAGCCUCUCCCUUUCUUCAGAGGGUGGGAGCGAGGACACUCUACCAG